UCCAGUUGAUCCUGCUGGCGGCUGCGGCUAUUUGGUUUGCAAUUAGACAUGCAAGUCUGUUGAAAGACGGCGAACUGCUCAGUAACACGUAGCUAACCUGCCCUAAUGCUUGGGAUACCCUCGGGAAACUGAGAUUAAACCCGAAUAGGAAAUAAUUUCUGGAAUGAUUUAUUUCUCAAAGUUAGGAUGGGGCUGCGGCUGAUUAGCUUGUUGGCGGGGUAAUAGCCCACCAAGGCAUUUAUCAGUAAGGGCUCUUAGCGGAGAAGCCCUGAGAGGGAGUCUGAGACACUACUCCCAGCCCUACGGGGUGCAGCAGUUAGGAAAAUUCUGCAAUGUACGAAAGUAUGACAGAGCAAGCCAAAGUGAUUCUCUAAUAAUUGAGAAUCUUUUAUGCGAUGUAAAAAGUCGCAUGAAUAAGGACUGGGCAAGACUGGUGCCAGCCGCCGCGGUAAUCCCAGCGGUCCAAGUCGCAGCCACUUUUAUUGGGUCUAAAACAUCCGUAGCUUGCCUCGUCAGUCUUUUGUGAAAUCUGGCCUCUUAAGGGUCAGGCGAGCAAGAGAUACUGCGAGGCUAGAGAUCGGAAGACGUAAGAAGUACGCAUAGGGUAGCGGUCAAAUGUGUUGAUCCUUUGUGGACUAACGAUAGCGAAGGCAUCUUACGAGAACGAAUCUGACAGUGAGGGAUGAAGGCUAGGGGCGCAAAACGGAUUAGAUACCCGUGUAGUCCUAGCAGUAAACACUGCACACUAAACAUCGGUCCCUCCUCGAGAGGUAUCGGUGCUGUAGGGAAGCCGGAGAGUGUGCUACCUGGGAAGUAUAGUCGCAAGGCCGAAACUUAAAGGAAUAGGCGGCGGGAUACUACAACCAGUGACGCGUGCGGUGAAUAAAAUUGCCGCAGUAA
rnacentral:rRNA from 1 species